ensembl:snRNA U1 U1 spliceosomal RNA
AUACUUACCUGGCAGUGGGGAUAACAUGAUCAAAAAAGUGGUUUUCUCAGGGUGAGACUUAUCCAUUGCACUCUGGAUGUGCUGACCCCUGUGACUUCCACAAAUGUGGGAAACUCAACUGCAUAAUUUGUGGUAGUGUAGGACUGUGUUCACUCUCUCUCCUGAG